rnacentral:rRNA from 1 species
AACGAACGCUGGCGGCAGGCUUAACACAUGCAAGUCGAACGGGCUGGGAACUUCGGUUCCCGAUGCUAGUGGCGCACGGGUGAGUAACACGUGGGAACGUACCCUUUAGUACGGAAUAACUCAGGGAAACUUGAGCUAAUACCGUAUGACUCCUUCGGGAGAAAGAUUUAUCGCUAAAGGAGCGGCCCGCGUCUGAUUAGGUAGUUGGUGAGGUAACGGCUCACCAAGCCGACGAUCAGUAGCUGGUCUGAGAGGAUGAUCAGCCACACUGGGACUGAGACACGGCCCAGACUCCUACGGGAGGCAGCAGUGGGGAAUUUUGGACAAUGGGCGAAAGCUUGAUCCAGUGAUAUCAAAGGAGUGAAGAAGGUGAAAACUGUAAAGCUUGAUUACUAAGGAAGAUAAUGACGUUACUUAGUAGGGAAGCCCCGGCUAAUCCUGUG